rnacentral:rRNA from 1 species
AUUGAACGCUGGCGGCAUGCCUUACACAUGCAAGUCGAACGGUAACAGGUCUUCGGAUGCUGACGAGUGGCGAACGGGUGAGUAAUACAUCGGGACGUGCCCGAUCGUGGGGGAUAACGGAGCGAAAGCUUUGCUAAUACCGCAUACGAUCUACGGAUGAAAGCAGGGGACCGCAAGGCCUUGCGCGAACGGGGCGGCCGAUGGCAGAUUAGGUAGUUGGUGGGAUAAAAGCUUACCAAGCCGACGAUCUGUAGCUGGUCUGAGAGGACGACCAGCCACACUGGGACUGAGACACGGCCCAGACUCCUACGGGAGGCAGCAGUGGGGAAUUUUGGACAAUGGGCGCAAGCCUGAUCCAGCAAUGCCGCGUGCAGGAUGAAGGCCUUCGGGUUGUAAACUGCUUUUGUACGGAACGAAAAGGCUCUGGUUAAUACCUGGGGCUCAUGACGGUACCGUAAGAAUAAGCACCGGCUAACUACGUGCCAGCCGCCGCUGUAACAC